CAGCUUAUAUGUGUCAUCACUUGGAUAUGCAUCUUGAGUAGAUUAGUAAGUUAUAAAUAGGCACCAUUGUCAUGGUCGGUAGACUCUCAGGUAGAUAAUAAAGUUUCUCAGAGAUUUUCCGUGGGGCACCCGCGUCAGCCGCGUCUACGUUCGCGCCGUCCUCUCUUUACAGCGAAGCUGUUUAUAACUAGCGUUCUGUGCAUUUUGGUCUGCGUGUGCAAAAACUCAAGUCCCGAAUUUGGUGCAAAAUUGUUUGGUUCUAUGCAACAGCUUAUAUUUGUCAUCACUUGGAUAUGCAUCUUGAGUAGAUUAGUUAGUUAUAAAUAGGCACCAUAUGCAUGGUCUGUAGACUCUCAGGUAGAUAAUAAAGUUUCUCAGAGAUUUUCCGUGGGGGACCCGCGUCAGCCGCGUCUACGUUCGCGCUGUCCUCUCUUACAGCGAAGCUGUUUAUAACUAGCGUUCUGUGCAUUUUUGUUCUAUGUGUGCAAAAACUCAAGUACCGAACUUGGUGCAAAAUUGUUUGAUUCUAUACAACAGCUUAUAUGUGUCAUCACUUGGAUAUGCAUCUUGAGUAGAUUGGUUGGUUAUAAAUAGGCACCAUAUGCAUGGUCGGUAGACUCUCAGGUAGAUAAUAAAGUUUCUCAGAGAUUUUCCGUGGGGGACCCGCGUCAGCCGCGUCUACGUUCGCGCCGUCCUCUCUUUACAGCGAAGCUGUUUAUAACUAGCGUUCUGUGCAUUUUGGUCUGCGUGUGCAAAAACUCAAGUACCGAACUUGGUGCAAAAUUGUUUGAUUCUAUACAACAGCUUAUAUGUGUCAUCACUUGGAUAUGCAUCUUGAGUAGAUUAGUUAGUUAUAAAUAGGCACCAUUUUGCAUGGUCGGUAGACUCUCAGGUAGAUAAUAAAGUUUCUCAGAGAUUUUCCGUGGGGCACCCGCGUCAGCCGCGUCUACGUUCGCGCCGUCCUCUCUUUACAGCGAAGCUGUUUAUAACUAGCGUUCUGUGCAUUUUGGUCUGCGUGUGCAAAAACUCAAGUACCGAAUUUGGUGCAAAAUUGUUUGAUUCUAUACAACAGCUUAUAUGUGUCAUCACUUGGAUAUGCAUCUUGAGUAGAUUAGUUAGUUAUAAAUAGGCACCAUAUGCAUGGUCGGUAGACUCUCAGGUAGAUAAUAAAGUUUCUCAGAGAUUUUCCGUGGGGGACCCGCGUCAGCCGCGUCUACGUUCGCGCUGUCCUCUCUUAACAGCGAAGCUGUUUAUAACUAGCGUUCUGUGCAUUUUUGUUCUAUGUGUGCAAAAACUCAAGUACCGAACUUGGUGCAAAAUUGUUUGAUUCUAUACAACAGCUUAUAUGUGUCAUCACUUGGAUAUGCAUCUUGAGUAGAUUGGUUGGUUAUAAAUAGGCACCAUAUGCAUGGUCGGUAGACUCUCAGGUAGAUAAUAAAGUUUCUCAGAGAUUUUCCGUGGGGGACCCGCGUCAGCCGCGUCUACGUUCGCGCCGUCCUCUCUUUACAGCGAAGCUGUUUAUAACUAGCGUUCUGUGCAU